rnacentral:rRNA from 1 species
CACCUACGGGGGGCAGCAGUGGGGAAUAUUGCGCAAUGGGGGAAACCCUGACGCAGCAACGCCGCGUGAGUGAAGAAGUAUCUCGGUAUGUAAAGCUCUAUCAGCGGGGAAGAAGGAAGACGGUACCCGACUAAGAAGCCCCGGCUAACUACGUGCCAGCAGCCGCGGUAAUACGUAGGGGGCGAGCGUUAUCCGGAUUUACUGGGUGUAAAGGGAGCGUAGACGGCGGCGCAAGUCCGGAGUGAAAGCCCACGGCCCAACCGUGGGACUGCUCUGGAAACUGUGCGGCUUGAGUGCGGGAGGGG